rnacentral:rRNA from 1 species
GAUGAACGCUGGCGGCGUGCUUAAUACAUGCAAGUCGAGCGAACAGACGAGGAGCUUGCUCCUUUGACGUUAGCGGCGGACGGGUGAGUAACACGUGGAUAACCUCCCUAUCAGACUGGGAAAUCUUCGGGAAACCGGAGCUAACACCGGAUAAUAUCUUGAACCGCGUGGUUGAAUAGUGAAAGUCGGUUUUUCUGUCACGUAUAGAUGGAUCCGCGCCGCAUUAGCUAGUUGGUAAGGUAACGGCUUAUCAAGGCAACGAUGCGUAUCCGACCUGAGAGAGUGAUCGGCCACACUGGAACGUAGACACCGUCCAGGCUCCUACGGGAGGCAGCAGUAGGGAAUCUUCCGCAAUGGGCGAAAGCCUGACGGAGCAACGCCGCGUGAGUGAUGAAGGUCUUCGGAUCGUAAAACUCUGUUAUUAGGGAAGAACAAAUGUGUAAGUAACUAUGCACGUCUUGACGGUACCUAGUCAGAAAGCCACGGCUAACUACGUG